rnacentral:rRNA from 1 species
CCUACGGGAGGCAGCAGUAGGGAAUCUUCCGCAAUGGACGAAAGUCUGACGGAGCAACGCCGCGUGAACGAUGAAGGCCUUCGGGUCGUAAAGUUCUGUUGUCAGGGAAGAACAAGUACCGGAGUAACUGCCGGUACCUUGACGGUACCUGACCAGAAAGCCACGGCUAACUACGUGCCAGCAGCCGCGGUAAUACGUAGGUGGCAAGCGUUGUCCGGAAUUAUUGGGCGUAAAGCGCGCGCAGGCGGUUCCUUAAGUCUGAUGUGAAAGCCCCCGGCUCAACCGGGGAGGGUCAUUGGAAACUGGGGAACUUGAGCGCAGAAGAGGAGAGCGGAAUUCCACGUGUAGCGGUGAAAUGCGUAGAGAUGUGGAGGAACACCAGUGGCGAAGGCGGCUCUCUGGUCUGUAACUGACGCUGAGGCGCGAAAGCGUGGGGAGCGAACAGGAUUAGAUACCCUGGUAGUCCACGCCGUAAACGAUGAGUGCUAAGUGUUAGAGGGUUUCCGCCCUUUAGUGCUGCAGCAAACGCAUUAAGCACUCCGCCUGGGGAGUACGGCCGCAAGGCUGAAACUCAAAGGAAUUGACGG